rnacentral:tRNA from 1 species
AAAUAAGAAACAAUAUAAUGUAUUUAGUUUCGACCUAAAAUUUAGGUGAUAGCCACCCUUAUUUA